GAUGAACGCUGGCGGCGUGCUUAACACAUGCAAGUCGAACGGUAAGGCCCCUUCGGGGGUACACGAGUGGCGAACGGGUGAGUAACACAUGGGCAAUCUGCCCCUCACUCUGGGAUAACUCGGGGAAACCCGAGCUAAUACCGGAUACUUCGUCGAGGUCGCAUGGCCAUGACGAGAAAGCUCCGACGGUGAGGGAUGAGCCCGCGGCCCAUUAGCUUGUUGGUGAGGUAACGGCUCACCAAGGCGACGAUGGGUAGCCGAGCUGAGAGGCUGAUCGGCCACACUGGGACUGAGACACGGCCCAGACUCCUACGGGAGGCAGCAGUGGGGAAUCUUGCGCAAUGGGCGAAAGCCUGACGCAGCAACGCCGCGUGCGGGAUGAAGGCUCUCGGGUCAUAAAGCACUUUUCUGCGAGAUGAGAAAGGACAGUAUCGUAGGAAUAAGUCUCGGCUAACUACGUGCCAGCCGCCGCGGUAAUAC
rnacentral:rRNA from 1 species